rnacentral:rRNA from 1 species
CCUACGGGCGGCAGCAGUAGGGAAUAUUGCUCAAUGGGGGAAACCCUGAAGCAGCAACGCCGCGUGGAGGAUGAAGGUUUUCGGAUUGUAAACUCCUUUUGUUAGAGAAGAGAAGGACGGUAGCUAACGAAUAAGCACCGGCUAACUCCGUGCCAGCAGCCGCGGUAAUACGGAGGGUGCAAGCGUUACUCGGAACCACUGGGCGUAAAGAGCGCGUAGGCGGGAUAGCAAGUCAGAUGUGAAAUCCUAUGGCUUAACCCUAGAACUGCAUUUGAAACUGUUAUUCUAGAGUAUGGGAGAGGUAGGUGGCAUUCUUGGUGUAGUGGUCAAAUCCGUAGAGAUCAAGAGGAAUACUCAUUGCGACGGCGACCUGCUAGAACAUACCUGACGCUGAUGCGCGAACGCGUGGGGAGCAAACAGGAUUAGAUACCCGGGUAGUC